GUAAAUACUUUGCUGGGACUGCGUCUGGACUGCAGUAUGCCAGAGGACAACCGUUUGGUUUUAAUUUAUUUAGAAUACUUCUAUGCAAAAAAGAUCUAUUAUUGAAUAAACAGAAGUAACCAAUAAUCAUUAUUUAAAGGGCAAUGUACAGCGGAGUAACAGUCAUCCUCACUAGCUGUUAAUUGUUAUUCAUAUAUUGGCAUUUAUUGGAAAUUUUUUUACACACAUACUUUUUCAGUUACAUUAAAUUUUCACACAUUCACUUCCAGUGUGCUUACUGUAGAUGGUAGAGGUGUAAGGAUACACUCCGGUCAUGAUUUGAUUCGCUCAUGAUACUGGCUUCAUAAUUCGAUCCAAUUUGAUACUCAGAACAAAAUCUGAAUCAAGAAAAAAUGUCUGAAUAGGUUUAAUAUUGUAAACAAAAUGUACUACACGUCCAACAUAUCUUAAAAUUAAAUAAAAAAAAAACUGAUUGAAUAAUCUCUGACCAGGGUAAAAUGAUGGUUUGAAACAUAAUGAGAGCUCCAAAGUCGGCUAAAGUGGUCGAGUUCUGCGGCCUGUAGAUUACAGAGGCACAGGGCUGGUGUAAUUUGAAACCUACCAAAGAGCUCAUUUUAGCUGUUACAAUGUGGUUGUGUAACAUGUUAUAUUAUAACACGCGCCGUAUGUUAUGUUUUAACGAGUCAUCGGCCCCAGCGUACACUCAUCAUAUUAUAAUCCUAUAUAAGGGUUGUGCAAAUUGGGACCUCUGGUGUUCAAAUAGUGCAGUUGCGUUAGAUGCAUAAUUAAUUAAAUGCUGAUUCCCACGAUCAGUACAUCGUCAAUGUUUUGCAUUUCGAUGCAUCGUGUCACGAUGUAUUGUCACACCCCUCAGAGGCAUACAAAUUUCAAUUUGUGAACGUGCAUAAAAAGCUAACACUGAAAGGAAAUUCAGAAGGAAAAAUGCAAGCUUGACAAAUGCAGCAUGAAAUACAGUAGCAUCAUUUAAGAUGUGAGGCUGGAUGAAGCAAGCAUAUUAGGUGCUACACUUUCUCUAUUGUUUAUUUUAUUCGAUUUUUUUUUCUCCAUUGCAAUCACUGUAGAGCCAACACCAGAAUGCAAAGUGUUUGAUAUACCAGCAUCACCUUGCACAAAAUCUACAAAUAAAAACCUGCUACUGGA
ensembl:lncRNA